AUUGAACGCUGGCGGCAGGCCUAACACAUGCAAGUCGAACGAGUGGCGGACGGGUGAGUAAUGUCUGGGAAACUGCCUGAUGGAGCGGGAUAACUACUGGAAACGGUAGCUAAUACCGCAUACCAUCAGACGUGCCCAGAUGGGAUUAGCAAGUUGGUGGGGUAACGGCUCACCCAGGCGGCGGUCCCUAGCUGGUCUGAGAGGAUGACCAGCCACACUGGACAUUGGACACGGUCCAGAAUCCUACGGGAGGCAGCAGUGGGGAAUAUUGCACAAUGGGCGCAAGCCUGAUGCAGCCAUGCCGCGUGUAUGAAGAAGGCCUUCGGGUUGUAAAGUACUUUAAGCGGGGAGGCGUUACCCGCAGAAGAAGCACCGGCUAACUCCGUGCCAGCAGCCGCGGUAAUUC
rnacentral:rRNA from 1 species